CCUACGGGAGGCAGCAGUGGGGAAUCUUGCGCAAUGGCCGAAAGGCUGACGCAGCGACGCCGCGUGUGGGAGGACGCCCUUCGGGGUGUAAACCACUGUUGCCCGGGACGAACAUCCCCUUUCGAGGGGACUGACGGUACCGGGUGAGGAAGCACCGGCUAA
rnacentral:rRNA from 1 species